AGCUUUUUACAUGUGUUAAUAAGAGCUUGGGCUUUGAAGUCAGAUCUGAAUUUAAUUCUCUCUUCCUUUCAUCAGGUAUUGACCUUGGAAAACCUGUGCAACCUCUUCAAGCCUUGGUUUCCUCAUUUGGAAUACAGAAAUAGUGAUAGUACCUAUGUCAUAGGAUGGCUGUAUGGAUUGCGAUAAUCCAAAUGAAUUUAUAUCUGGCUUGCAGUAAAGUCAGCAAAGAAAACAUGGUAUUUUGAAGUAUGAUUAAACUCCUGAUGCUGCAGCAGAGGCUAUGAAUAUUAAUGGCCAGAUCUAGAGUGGUAACACAUGAUGAAUCUCAAAGACGUCAGGUGGAAUGAGAUGAGCCACACAUGAAGAAAACAUGCUCUCUGGUUCCAUUUUUAUGAGGCUCAGAAUAGGAAAAACUAAUGGUAAAUCAGAUCCAAAUAGUAGCUACCUUUGGAGAACUGUCGAUUGGAAGGAGGCUAAGUGAACCUUCUGGGUUGCUGGAUAUAUUCUCUACGUUGGUCCCCUUGUUGAUUACAUAGAAACAUGUAAGAAUUCCUUCAGCUGUACACUUAAAAUUUGCAAACUUUACUAAAUGUAAGUUAUACAGCAAUGAAAAUUCAAACAGCAGCAGCAUAAAUGGCCACUCAGAUGUCAUGAUUUACAAAGGGAGAAGUUGCUAAGGAGAAAAAAGGAUGUGUAGAAUAUAAUUCCAAGAAACAAGGCAGUGGAGGCUUCACUCACCAAGGAUUUCUGAUUAUAAAUAUGUAGUUGUUCCUGCAGUUAUAGGGGUCAAAGGCAGGCUGCCCCAAGAUGCA